AGUACCACAUCUAAUAAAAGUAAUAGAAGAAUUCUCAAAAGUAUUGGGAUAUAAAUUAAAUAUGGACAAAUCAACAAUUUUGCCUAGUAACAUCUCUAAUGAAGUCAAAAAUAAAAUUAAAGAAAAAUUAAAUUUUCUUUGGGCAGAACAGUCAUUUAAAUACUUGGGCAUUGAGGCAUGCUCCGAUCCAACUAAGAUAAUUGAAUGUAAUUUCCUCUCCUUAAUCUCGCAAACAAAUAAAUUGCUGAAAGAGUGGAAAUCGUUGGAAUUCUUGUGGUGGGGAAGAGUAAACAUUAUAAAAACAUACAUAUUACCAAAGUGGCUCUACAUGAUGAGAAUGAUACCUCUCCCCAUCCCAGAGAGUUACAUAGUUACAU